rnacentral:rRNA from 1 species
UACAGAGGGUGCAAACGUUGCUCGGAAUUACUGGGCGUAAAGGGCGCGUAGGCGGGAUGGCAAGUCGGUCGUGAAAUCCCUCGGCUCAACUGAGGAUCGUCGAUCGAUACUGCCGUUCUUGAGGAUUGCAGAGGAGACUGGAAUUCCCGGUGUAGCGGUGAAAUGUGUAGAGAUCGGGAGGAACACCGGUGGCGAAGGCGGGUCUCUGGGCAAUUCCUGACGCUGAGGCGCGAAAGCGUGGGGAGCAAACGGG